CGUUGUAGAAACUUAAAGGAAUUGGCGGGGGCCCGCACAAGCGGUGGAGCAUGUGGUUUAAUUCGACGCAACGCGAAGAACCUUACCAGGGUUUGACAUCCCCUGACAGCGUAUGAAAGUACGUUUUUCAUCUUCGGAUGGACAGGGAGACAGGUGGUGCAUGGUUGUCGUCAGCUCGUGUCGUGAGAUGUUGGGUUAAGUCCCGCAACGAGCGCAACCCUUACGUUUAGUUGCUAACGUGUGGAGGCGAGCACUCUAGACGAACUGCCGUUGACAAAACGGAGGAAGGUGGGGAUGACGUCAAAUCAUCAUGCCCCUUAUAUCCUGGGCCACACACGUGCUACAAUGGCCGGUACAGAGGGCAGCGAAGCCGUGAGGCGGAGCAAAUCCCAAAAAGCCGGUCUCAGUUCGGAUUGCAGGCUGCAACCCGCCUGCAUGAAGUCGGAAUCGCUAGUAAUCGCAGGUCAGCAUACUGCGGUGAAUACGUUCCCGGGCCUUGCACACACCGCCCGU
rnacentral:rRNA from 1 species